UCAUGGAAUAAAUCAAAGUCGAAAAAUACGAACUACAGUUUAAAACUUAAAGAUUUUGGCGGUGUCUUAUCGUACCAGGGGAACCUGUCUCAUAACUCGAUAAUCCACGAACCUCUUACCUUUUCUAGCCAUCCAGCUUGUGUACUGCCGUCGUAAGCACACCUCUAAAAGAACGAGUAUGCAAUUAUGAUUCUCUCAUUUACGUCAGGUCAAAGUGCAGCUUAUGAGAAGGUGAUGAUGGGUUACACCCUAAACAAAGAUACGGAAUAUGAUAUUAAAAGUCACAUGAAGGAGGACUUGGGCGUAAUAGUGACCUAAAUUCACAAUGAAACCGAAUCUAAGACAUGCACACAUCGCCCGUCACUCUCGCCUAAAGGCG
rnacentral:rRNA from 1 species